CUGACACUGAGGCUCGAAAGCGUGGGGAGCAAAACGAUGAGUGCUAGCUGUAGGGAGCUAUAAGUUCUCUGUAGCGCAGCUAACGCAUUAAGCACUCCGCCUGGGGAGUACGACCGCAAGGUUGAAACUCAAAGGAAUUGACGGGGGCCCGCACAAGCGGUGGAGCAUGUGGUUUAAUUCGAAGCAACGCGAAGAACCUUACCAGGUCUUGACAUACUCGUGCUAUCCUUAGAGAUAAGGAGUUCCUUCGGGACACGGGAUACAGGUGGUGCAUGGUUGUCGUCAGCUCGUGUCGUGAGAUGUUGGGUUAAGUCCCGCAACGAGCGCAACCCUUAUUACUAGUUGCCAUCAUUAAGUUGGGCACUCUAGUGAGACUGCCGGUGAUAAACCGGAGGAAGGUGGGGAUGACGUCAAAUCAUCAUGCCCCUUAUGACCUGGGCUACACACGUGCUACAAUGGAUGGUACAACGAGUCGCCAACCCG
rnacentral:rRNA from 1 species